AGCAAACGCUGGCGGCGUGCCUAAUACAUGCAAGUCGAACGGGGAAAGGCUUCGGCCAAGUACUAGUGGCGCACGGGUGAGUAACACGUGGGUAAUCUGCCUUCGAGUGGGGAAUAACUAGUCUAAAGAUUAGCUAAUACCGCAUAAGACCACAGAGUCUUCGGAUUCAGAGGUCAAAGGAGAAAUUCGCUCGAAGAUGAGCCCGCGUCAGAUUAGCUAGUUGGUAGGGUAACGGCCUACCAAGGCGAUGAUCUGUAGCUGGUCUGAGAGGAUGAUCAGCCACACUGGAACUGAGACACGGUCCAGACUCCUACGGGAGGCAGCAGUAGGGAAUAUUGCGCAAUGGGGGAAACCCUGACGCAGCGACGCCGCGUGAGUGAUGAAGGCCUUCGGGUCGUAAAGCUCUGUUGAAGGGGAAUAAAAAAAUGAAUGUACCCUUCGAGGAAGGAUCGGCUAACUUCGUGCCAGCAGCCGCGGUAA
rnacentral:rRNA from 1 species